CUACCCUUGACAUGUCAGGAAUCCUGGAGAGACCUGGGAGUGCCCGAAAGGGAGCCAUAACACAGGUGCUGCAUGGCUGUCGUCAGCUCGUGUCGUGAGAUGUUGGGUUAAGUCCCGCAACGAGCGCAACCCUUGUCCCUAGUUGCUACGCAAGAGCACUCUAGGGAGACUGCCGGUGACAAACCGGAGGAAGGUGGGGAUGACGUCAAGUCCUCAUGGCCCUUAUGGGUAGGGCUUCACACGUCAUACAAUGGUCGGAACAGAGGGUCGCCAAGCCGCGAGGUGGAGCCAAUCCCAGAAAACCGAUCGUAGUCCGGAUCGCACUCUGCGACUCGAGUGCGUGAAGCUGGAAUCGCUAGUAAUCGCGGAUCAGCAUGCCGCGGUGAAUACGUUCCC
rnacentral:rRNA from 1 species